rnacentral:misc_RNA from 1 species
AACGCACCUUGCACCCUUUGGUAUUCCGAAGGGUACACCCGUUUGAGCGUCAGUGUAAUCUCACCAUCCGACUCUUUGUCGGCAUGUUGUGGAUUUGGAUGUUGCCGUGUCGCAGCGGCUCAUCUGAAAUGCCUGAGUACAUCCUGGAUUUGCGAUGUGUUCGGUGUGAUAAGCUUUCACCGUCAUUGACCUUGCGGUCACACUCGCUUGACCAAGGCCUGUGCUUCCAACAGUCCCAAUCGGACAACCUUUGACAAUUUGACCUCAAAUCGGGUGGGACUACCCGCUGAACUUAA